UACGUAGGGGGCAAGCGUUGUCCGGAAUCAUUGGGCUUAAAGAGCGUGUAGGCGGCCCGGUAAGUCCGCUGUGAAAGUCCAGGGCUCAACCCUGGGAUGCCGGUGGAUACUGUCGGGCUCGAGUCCGGAAGAGGAGUGUGGAAUUCCUGGUGUAGCGGUGAAAUGCGCAGAUAUCAGGAGGAACACCAAUGGCGAAGGCAGCACUCUGGGACGUGACUGACGCUGAGACGCGAAAGCUAGGGGAGCAAACGGG
rnacentral:rRNA from 1 species